rnacentral:rRNA from 1 species
UCGGGAAUAUUGGGCAAUGGAGGAAACUCUGGCCCAGCAAUACCGCGUGAGCGAUGAAGGUAAUUUUAUUGUAAAGCUCUUUUCUCAGUCAAGAAUAAAUGACUAGCUGAGGAAUAAGCCCCGGCUAACUACGUGCCAGCAGCCGCGGUAAUACGUAGGGGGCGAGCGUUGUCCGGAAUUACUGGGCGUAAAGGGUGUGUAGGCGGUUUGGUAAGUUAGAAGUGUAAUACCCAGGGCUUAACUCGGGUGCUGCUUCUAAAACUGUCAGACUUGAGUGCAGGAGAGGUAAGUGGAAUUCCUAGUGUAGCGGUGGAAUGCGUAGAUAUUAGGAGGAACAUCAGUGGCGAAAGGCGACUUACUGGACUGUAACUGACGCUGAGGCACGAAAGCGUGGGUAGCAAACAGGAUUAGAUACCCUGGUAGU